UACUGGUGUUCAGACAUGUGCUUUUCCAAUGUUCAUCAAGUCUCCCUAUCAGGAAUUCACUGACCAUCUUGUAAAGACACACACCAGAGUCUCUGUGCAGAGGACACAGGCUCCAGUUGUGUUUACCACAU